GCAAGAUCAAUGGAGAAGCAGAGAGGGUCGGUCGUCCUCAACGUUGAAGAUCAGCAAUAGCAGCAGUGGCUUUGCUGUCAACGUUGAAAGUAUAGUUUUUGCUUUUACGCACAAGUGUUCAAUUGUAUUUUGAUAGAUUAUGUUCGGACCCUAGAUAUCUAGGCUGAUUACUGUAGUCAAAUGUUUUUGAAAUGCAGAGCUCAAAGGCGGUGAAAAGAAACGAAGAAGAAACUAUCUAAGUUUUCCUAUAAAUUUCCAAAUCAUGCUACUACGUUGUUGAAUUAUGUUGAAUCCCUGUCUGCCAUUGUGUCCUCUGAGUACUAGAGUUUUUCCACUUAUAGUGUAUAUGGUGUGAGCAGGGCGUGUGUGUAUAGAAUUCUUCUUUUUUUGUUUAGGAGAUCCGGUCUCCAAGAUGGGUUAAUUGUUCAUCAUAGUUCUUGUUAUUUUGAAUUUUGAAUCAGGGUCCUGGCUUAAUUCUCUCUACUUUUUUUUUCUUUUUUUUUUU
rnacentral:lncRNA from 1 species